UUAAUACCGUUUUCAAGUGUUCCAGUCCCUCUAGCUUUUAAAGGAGGUGUUGUGUUUUGACAUGACCCGUUUGCCCAGAAUCUUGCUGCGGCUCAAUUUCCUUCCUAUCCCUUGUGCUGACUGAGCUACUCCAUUUUCUUCUGUGCUAUUUUAUUAACGUGCUGAAAUAUAGUUUGGGAUUUCUGUUUUUCAGAUGUCUUCUCAGUGUCUCGUGAUGCUCAAGAGAUGCCCCCCGGCCCGGGUUUGCCUGCCGGUCGUUAAGCGUGGUGAAGAGGCAGAGGAGGAGUUGUUCAGGGUGACAGAGGAAAGCCGGGGAAAUGCUGUAAGAAGGUGAUGGGUGAGCCUCAAAGUGGCAGCUGG